UGGUAGACAGGUUAUGACGGCUAUGUUUCGAUAUUGACUGUACUGAAAAUCUAUAAUGUUACAUACGUCAUCACUUUUUCAGUACUUACAGUGAAUAUCAAAACACAACCUUAGUCUGCUACACUCGUCGGCUUGGAGUUGGUUUUGGAGUAAUUUUUCCACGCAGUGUUAUCCAAUAUCAAGUUUUGCAAAGAUAUUAUUGGAAGAUAUUGGAAGUUUAGACGAAGAACGUAAUUCACCAACUAAUGGAGAAGAUCGACAGGUGUUUUUGGCUGUAGAAAAAAAUCCUGACGGGUAGGGGCGAAACUGAGGUCAUAUUCGAUUUCAGCAGGCGAAAAUACAUGGGAAUACCAUGGUCUACUCCAGGGCGGAGACAACUUUUUUUUUGUGGGCCUGUGUAUUAAAGUUAGCAACUUUUACACAUAAGUCAUCCUAUCCUAGCCCAACAUAAAACGUACAUUUUGCACUGUAGAUUUAAAAUGGCCCGAGUAUUGUUGUUGAAAAACUAUAAUCAACCGUAGAGUAGAAAAUCAGGAACAUGACAAACAAAAACUCAAAUUUUUUAACCACAUAAUACCACCAUAAAUUAAAACAUUUUUAAUAAUUUAAAAAUUAAUAUCUCUAAUAUAAUGUGGUCUAUCGAAAUAAAAUUUUAACAGCAAUUAGGUUAGACAUUUCUCUAUAAACUCCUAAAUUUUCACGAAGAUUUGUCGGUAAAGGGUUUUUGUGAUAUUACUGAUGUGAUACAAAUACCUUAAGGGGAAACUACCUUAUAUUCUGAAUAUAAUAUAUUGUAAGGACUGUUAAUUAAGAAUAAAAACUGUAUAUUUGUAAAUAUUAAUAAUUUUGUCAACUAGAUGUCUAAUUGAAAAUUUUAUAAUCAGGUUAAUAAAUAAGGAUUAUUUUUGAAAAGUAGAACAAAUUAAUGAAAAUAUCAGCGGAUUAAAAACAAUAUACAAUUUGACUGGUAGUUCAGGAAAAAGGACAAGAAAGCUGUACGAAGAAAAAGAGGCAAAUUUGUAACUUCAAACAUUUAAAAUAUUUUAUGUUGACUCAUCACUUUCUCAUUACAUCAACUAUCUAUUAUCUAACAAUAAUAUUUCUUCUGAAUGUUGUAUACUAUGUAUAAAGAUAACAUGUAAUAAAAUAAUAUAUUUUUGUACAAUA